rnacentral:rRNA from 1 species
UACAGAGGUCUCAAGCGUUGUUCGGAUUCAUUGGGCGUAAAGGGUGCGUAGGUGGCGCUGUAAGUCGGGUGUGAAAUUUCGGAGCUUAACUCCGAAACUGCAUUCGAUACUGCGGUGCUUGAGGACUGGAGAGGAGACUGGAAUUCAUGGUGUAGCAGUGAAAUGCGUAGAGAUCAUGAGGAAGACCAGUGGCGAAGGCGGGUCUCUGGAUAGUUCCUGACACUGAGGCACGAAGGCCAGGGGAGCAAACGGG